CACGUAAAAUACAAGUGUUAUUCAUCUUUAAUAGGUUUAAAGGGUACCUAGACGGAAAAUCAAGCCUAAAUAAUAAGGGACUAGUAUUCUAGAGUUUUAUGGAUGAAUGUUGAACUAUUGGAGUAAAGUCAACAUUUUGUGAUACCAAUGAUACGGACAACUGUGAAGACGACAUUCCAUGUAAAAACUGACGUUGAGGGACGAAGCCUUGGGGAGCGAUAAGGAUUAGGAAACCCCCUGU
rnacentral:rRNA from 1 species